CUUCAUGAGCAUGAUGGCCGUCUUCAAUCCUUAAUGGGGUAUACUAGAUGUUUGCUUUGUUUUUAGCAACACCUGACAAAAAGGUACUUUGACUUAUCCACAUUCAUCUGGUUCUAAAUGUACUGGUUAAUUCACAACGGUAACUGAAGAAAACAUAUUUUUCUGUUGAAACUAUGCUGGACGGAUACAAUCAUAUUGUUUGUUUGCAUUCAAAACCAUUUGGCUGUAACAUCAACAGCAUUUUAUCAGGAAUACUUUGUUUACUGACUCUCUGAGUUGCUUUGUCAGAUGGAACUCCUGGUGUUGGAUUGGCACAAUAAGCUUUGGGCUGGUAAUUAAAAAAAUACAUUUAUAAGACGCAAUGGAGAGCAAAUUGAAACUUCUAGGCCAUCGGAGUUCAGCUUUACUUCUGCAGCGACCCAGCAAAGGCGAGACAUACUUUCACAUGUUCAGAGCGGCACAUGUCCCUCAUCAUGUACCACAAGUAACAUAAAACACCCUCAUUAUAUUUGACAAUGGUUUGUACGCCAGGUAAUUCCCUGAGGUGAGCUGGGAUUAAAGUGCAAGCGAUUCAACUAUUUCAUCUUUAUGGAUUUGUAACA